UAUAGAAUAUCUUUAUUUUGUUCAAUCAGUAUAUAACAAUUCCCUUUUCGAAAUUGAAGCUAAGGAGGUUUUAUGCGAUGAGGGUGAUACUUACAUGCUCACCGAAUUCACUCCCACUCGUUAUUCCGAUUCGGUUUUUCUUCGUGAAGCGAGGCUCUUAAAGUAUCUGCACCGGUGAUCAAAGUGAAGUGUCUUAAGUUAGAUUAAAAUUUUAAUCAAUAAAUUGUAAAAAUAUUAAACCCAAUCAAAAAGUG
rnacentral:sRNA from 1 species